rnacentral:rRNA from 1 species
CCCUCCCUCUUUCUUCCUGCCUAACACAUGCAAGUCGAACGAGACCUUCGGGUCUAGUGGCGCACGGGUGCGUAACGCGUGGGAACCUGCCCUUAGGUUCGGAAUAACUCCCCGAAAGGGGUGCUAAUACCGGAUAAUGUCUUCGGACCAAAGAUUUAUCGCCUUUGGAUGGGCCCGCGUUGGAUUAGCUAGUUGGUAGGGUAAAAGCCUACCAAGGCGACGAUCCAUAGCUGGUCUGAGAGGAUGAUCAGCCACACUGGGACUGAGACACGGCCCAGACUCCUACGGGAGGCAGCAGUGGGGAAUAUUGGACAAUGGGCGAAAGCCUGAUCCAGCAAUGCCGCGUGAGUGAUGAAGGCCUUAGGGUUGUAAAGCUCUUUUAACCGGGAUGAUAAUGACAGUACCGGGAGAAUAAGCUCCGGCUAACUCCGUG